GGACUACCAGGGUUUCUAAUCCUGUUUGCUCCCCUAGCUUUCGUGCCUCAGUGUCAGGAGAUGUCCAGGGACUCGCCUUCGCCACUGGUGUUCCUCUCGAUAUCUACGCAUUUCACUGCUACACCGAGAAUUCCAGUCCCCCCUCCAUUCCUCCAGCCAGGUAGUUUCCAAUGCCAUUUCGGAGUUGAGCUCCGAGCUUUCACAUCCGACUUACCCGACCACCUACGCACCCUUUACGCCCAGUGAAUCCGAACAACGCUUGGGACCUCUGUAUUACCGCGGCGGCUGGCAC
rnacentral:rRNA from 1 species